rnacentral:rRNA from 1 species
AGCAACAAAUGCCCUGCUUCCAGGAAAAGCCUCUAAGCAUCAGGUAACAUCAAAUCGUACCCCAAACCGACACAGGUGGUCAGGUAGAGAAUACCAAGGCGCUUGAGAGAACUCGGGUGAAGGAACUAGGCAAAAUGGUGCCGUAACUUCGGGAGAAGGCACGCUGACACGUAGGUGAAGUGAUUUACUCACGGAGCUGAAGUCAGUCGAAGAUACCAGCUGGCUGCAACUGUUUAUUAAAAACACAGCACUGUGCAAACACGAAAGUGGACGUAUACGGUGUGACGCCUGCCCGGUGCCGGAAGGUUAAUUGAUGGGGUCAGCGCAAGCGAAGCUCCUGAUCGAAGCCCCGGUAAACGGCGGCCGUAACUAUAACGGUCCUAAGGUAGCGAAAUUCCUUGUCGGGUAAGUUCCGACCUGCACGAAUGGCGUAAUGAUGGCCAGGCUGUCUCCACCCGAGACUCAGUGAAAUUGAACUCGCUGUGAAGAUGCAGUGUACCCGCGGCAAGACGGAAAGACCCCGUGAACCUUUACUAUAGCUUGACACUGAACAUUGAGCCUUGAUGUGUAGGAUAGGUGGGAGGCUUUGAAGCGUGGACGCCAGUCUGCGUGGAGCCGACCUUGAAAUACCACCCUUUAAUGUUUGAUGUUCUAACGUGGACCCGUGAUCCGGGUUGCGGACAGUGUCUGGUGGGUAGUUUGACUGGGGCGGUCUCCUCCUAAAGAGUAACGGAGGAGCACGAAGGUUGGCUAAUCCUGGUCGGACAUCAGGAGGUUAGUGCAAUGGCAUAAGCCAGCUUGACUGCGAGCGUGACGGCGCGAGCAGGUGCGAAAGCAGGUCAUAGUGAUCCGGUGGUUCUGAAUGGAAGGGCCAUCGCUCAACGGAUAAAAGGUACUCCGGGGAUAACAGGCUGAUACCGCCCAAGAGUUCAUAUCGACGGCGGUGUUUGGCACCUCGAUGUCGGCUCAUCACAUCCUGGGGCUGAAGUAGGUCCCAAGGGUAUGGCUGUUCGCCAUUUAAAGUGGUACGCGAGCUGGGUUUAGAACGUCGUGAGACAGUUCGGUCCCUAUCUGCCGUGGGCGCUGGAGAACUGAGGGGGGCUGCUCCUAGUACGAGAGGACCGGAGUGGACGCAUCACUGGUGUUCGGGUUGUCAUGCCAAUGGCACUGCCCGGUAGCUAAAUGCGGAAGAGAUAAGUGCUGAAAGCAUCUAAGCACGAAACUUGCCCCGAGAUGAGUUCUCCCUGAGACUUAAAGUCUCCUGAAGGAACGUUGAAGACGACGACGUUGAUAGGCCGGGUGUGUAAGCGCAGCGAUGCGUUGAGCUAACCGGUACUAAUGAACCGUGAGGCUUAACCUU